AAGAAAGGCCUUCGGGUGUAAGUUUCUUCAAGCGAGGGAAGAAAGGGAGUAGGGCUAGAUGACCAUAGUCGAUGGAGGUAACCCGCAGAACGAUAGCCCUGGGUAUCUUCCGUGCCAGCAGCCGCUGUAAUACGGAGGGGUCAAGUGUUAAUUGAAAUUAUUUAGCGUAAAGCGCACGCUGGCGGUCUGUCUAGUCGGGAUGUGAAAUUCCCGGCUCAAUCUGGAACUGCAUUUCGAAACUGGCAGGCUGGAGUAUUGUAGAGGGGGGUAGAAUUCCUGGUGUGGCGGUGAAAUGCAUAGAGAUAUGGAGGAAUUCCGGUAGGGAAGGCGGCUCCCUAGACAAAGAUUGACGGUCAGGUGCGAAAGCGUGGGGAGCAAACAGGAUUAGAUACCCUGGUAGUCCACGCUGUAAAUGAUGUCGACUUGGAGGUUGUUCCCUUGAGGAGUGGCUUCCGGAGAUAACGUUAUAUGUCGACCGCCUGGGGAGUACGGCCGCAAGGUUAAAACUCAAAUGAAUUGACGGGGGCCCGCACAAGCGGUGGAGCAUGUGGUUUAAUUCGAUGCAACGCGAAGAACCUUACCUACUCUUGACAUCCAGAGAACUUAGCAGAGAUGCUUUGGUGCCUUCGGGAACUUUGAGACAGGUGCUGCAUGGCUGUCGUCAGCUCUUGUUGUGAAAUGUUGGGUUAAGUCCCGCAACGAGCGCAACCCUUAUCCUUUGUUGCCAGCGGUUCGGCCGGGAACUCAAAGGAGACUGCCAGUGAUAAACUGGAGGAAGGUGGGGAUGACGUCAAGUCAUCAUGG
rnacentral:rRNA from 1 species